AGUCGAGCGGGGGAAGGUAGCUUGCUACUGGACCUAGCGGCGGACGGGUGAGUAAUGCUUAGGAAUCUGCCUAUUAGUGGGGGACAACAUCUCGAAAGGGAUGCUAAUACCGCAUACGUCCUACGGGAGAAAGCAGGGGAUCUUCGGACCUUGCGCUAAUAGAUGAGCCUAAGUCGGAUUAGCUAGUUGGUGGGGUAAAGGCCUACCAAGGCGACGAUCUGUAGCGGGUCUGAGAGGAUGAUCCGCCACACUGGGACUGAGACACGGCCCAGACUCCUACGGGAGGCAGCAGUGGGGAAUAUUGGACAAUGGGGGGAACCCUGAUCCAGCCAUGCCGCGUGUGUGAAGAAGGCCUUAUGGUUGUAAAGCACUUUAAGCGAGGAGGAGGCUACUCUAGUUAAUACCUAGGGAUAGUGGACGUUACUCGCAGAAUAAGCACCGGCUAACUCUGUGCCAGCAGCCGACGGUAAUA
rnacentral:rRNA from 1 species